CAGUUGUGCUGUUUGCAUAUGUGUCACUGCUACACACACUUUAAGAGCUGUAGUGCUGAUCAGAGUGUGUUCAGUCCUUUCAGAGCCACUGACACGCAGCACAAUGAUGAUGGUACUGAGUCUCCUGCUGGGGACACUGGGACUCCUCGCUCACCAGUCUUUUGGGGAAAUCGUCCUGACUCAGUCUCCAGGAUCUCAGUCUGUUUCUCCAGGAGAAUCUGUUACUCUCACCUGUAGAACCAGUGCAUAUGUUGGCAGUGAUCUCCAAUGGUACCUGCAGAAACCUGGAGAAGCUCCUAAACUCCUGAUCUAUUAUGAUGUUAAUCGUUACACAGGGGUUCCAGAUCGUUUCAGUGGCAGUGGAUCGAACACAGAAUUUUACCUAAAAAUCUCUGGAGUUCAGGCUGAAGAUGCAGGAGAUUAUUAUUGUCAGCAGAGUGAGAGCUAUCCGUACACACAGUGUUACAGCGUCGUACAAAAACCUCCCUGAGCUGUAGAGGAAGUGCUCUGACUCAGAAACACACACUGAUCUGAGAACAGCUGCACAGCUGCUAAUGUACUUUUUUUUUUUACCAGAUUUUACCAGACAAUUGUUUCCAUAUAACAAAUGUUCUGUUCACAUUUAAUAAUUUUUUCUCCUAAUCUCUGGUAAGCAUCAAUGGUUAGAGUUAUAUAGAGAACUUUAAUUACAUGUCUCUCAAAAAGAGAACCUUGUGGACCACAAAGUGUGAGAUCAUGACUGAUAUGUUCCUGUCCAUUGCAUGUUGAGCU